rnacentral:rRNA from 1 species
UUGAAAGGGAAACGAUUGAAGUCAGUCGUACUUGCGGGUAAUCAGCCUUUUGGGUAUGAUUCUGUGGAGUGUGAGGAGUUAAACGCCUUCAUGCUUCUGCAUAUUCGUGCACUUUGGGUGUACUUGCCACUAUGGUAGGUUAACAUCAAUUUUGGUCGUCAUAAAAUGGCUGUAGGAAUGUAGCUUCGAUCUCGUAUUGAAGUGUUAUAGCCUUUGGCAGAUGUGAUGAUCGGGAUUGAGGAUUGCAACGGAUACCCUUCGGGGCUACCUGUCUGAUCUCUGAUCGUUGCUCUGGUGCCGAAAGCGUGCUUACGGUUAUCAAAGUCGAUGGUCAACAGGUUAGAACGGGUUAAAUUCGUUAAGGAUGUUGACGUA